GAAGUUAUUUAUUCAGCAUUGGGACAUAAAAUUAACUUAAAAUUUAAAUAUUGAAGAUGCUUUAAUUAAAGUUAAAGACUAGCCA
rfam:Staphylococcus aureus subsp. aureus NCTC 8325, complete genome.